rnacentral:rRNA from 1 species
AAGUUGGAAUUGCUAGUAAUCUGGAUCAGCAUGCCACGGUGAAUACGUUCCCGGGUCUUGUACACACCGCCCGUCACACCAUGGGAGUCGGUAACACCCGAAGUCAGUAGUCUAACCGCAAGGAGGGCGCUGCCGAAGGCAGGAUUGAUGACUGGGGUGAAGUCGUAACAAGGUAAC